AAUCUCCCACCCCUAGCGGUUGCCGCAAGGCGCCGCCGGGCGGCGGGGUUGGUUGGGUGCCGCUGCCUGGGCUUUGGCCCAGGCUCGCCCGAAAUGCAUGAGCGCUUAGCACUCGCACCGUCUCGAGGGAAGGCGGCGGAGCUGGCAUCUGCGCAUGGCAUGAUACGUCAUUUGCUGUGUGGCAGCCCAGCGACCCGAGAGUGUGUGUGCGCUACUACACGCCCUUUCAU
rnacentral:misc_RNA from 1 species